rnacentral:rRNA from 1 species
CCUACGGGAGGCAGCAGUGAGGAAUAUUGGUCAAUGGCCGUAAGGCUGAACCAGCCAAGUCGCGUGAAGGAAGAAGGAUCUAUGGUUUGUAAACUUCUUUUAUCGGGGAAUAAAGGUAUCCACGUGUGGAUAUUUGCAUGUACCCUAUGAAUAAGCAUCGGCUAACUCCGUGCCAGCAGCCGCGGUAAUACGGAGGAUGCGAGCUUUAUCCGGAUUUUUUGGGUUUAAAGGGUGCGGAGGUUGGUUUUUAAGUCAGCGGUGAAAGUUUGUGGGUCAACCAUAAAAGUGCCGUUGAAACUGGAAUUCUUGAGUACAGUAGAGGUGUGCGGAAUGCGUGGUGUAGCGGUGAAAUGCUUAGAUAUCACGAAGAACUCCGAUUGCGAAGGCAGCUCACUGGACUGCAACUGACGCUGAGGCUCGAAAGUGUGGGUAUCAAACAGGAUUAGAUACCCCAGUAGUC